GGGCUCGUGGCUCAGCCUGGAUAGAGUGAGUGCUUGCGGAGCAUUAGGUCGCCGGUUCGAAUCCGGUCGGGCCCG
rnacentral:tRNA from 1 species